CGGAGUUAUUAUUUUAGCUUUAUACUUUUAUAACGUAUAAGAAAAACGCGACGAGGAUUAUUGAGCCAUUCAAUAAUUUAUUAUCCAGUUUGAUAACUGACUUAGCAAAGUCAAGUUAUUAAUUUAUAUGCGAUAGAAAUAGUAUUUCUAUUAUUUACUUGAAGUCGUGAUUAAUUUUCGACUUAUAAAACGAAUUAUAAAAUAUGUAAUUCGUAGAGAGUUAUAACGAAGCGUCGUUAUUUAGUAGAACCCAAUAUUAGUUUUACAAAUACUUGUAACUUCAAUACUUUACAAAUCAUUAUUUUUCCACUCCCUAAUGUUUCCUACACUAUAUACGCAUCCACUCCACCAAAUUACAUCAUACCUACCUCCCCACCACUACUUUACUUUUCCCCCACCACAUUAGUGCACCACCAUCUCCACUACCUAUGCUCCCCACCAACUUCAAAAAAAAAAAAAAACUUCACCCAUUCCUUCCAUUUCGCACCAGCAAUCACAAAGAGAAGGAAGACUUGGCUUAACUAUUUUGCCAAGAUUUCAAGCUGCUCCAGUCCAGUAGUACCCCAACACUCCGGCAGUGUUUUGCAAGGCGAUUUCAGCAAUCCCAACGGUUCCCAAAAAUUCUCAAAUUAAUUGUGUAUCAUCUUUCAUAUGUUUUCUAUACUUUGGUAAAAUUUCAGAAGGUUUGAAGCUCUUAUGAUUUAUUUAUGAAUUUGUAAACAUCACUGCCCAUCUGGAAUACAUUUUUGGUAAACAAUCUUUGGGAGGCCAUAAGUAAAGUUUCAAUCGGUGAAAACCUUUGAAACUUGAAUAUGUCACUCUAGACUCCCGUAUCUUUCUUUUGAAAUCGGCCUCACCAUUUUUGAGUAAGGGAAACAACCGGUAUAAAUUCUUGAAAUCUAGUUCUUAUUCCUUGUACCAUCCAGUAGAUUUUACAAACCUACGACUUUGAGGUGGCAAAUACCGACUUAAAUCUUUGAUUCUCAAGCCUAUCUUUCUACUGAAUAUUCACUGACAUGUUGGGAACUUACUUGUUCAGUUUUAGAAUUUUUGGUGAAGCCUAAAGUGGUUUUUCCGAUUUAUGUUCUGAAUCUGCCAAACUUGAACUCUUUUUGUGCACUGAACUUUAGAUAGUCAUAUCUUCUAAACCAUGAAUGUUCUUAGAGUAAAUCCAACUGGAGAGUGUUAUGAUCUCUCCCUAGUUUCCAGAUUGACCCUUGGGGUUCCCAGUGGAGUUUUGUAAAGGGAGAUAUGAAUUUUUAAAGAAAGCCCACUGACUUGGUUGUAAUCUGGAAAUCUGAAAUUUUCAGAUUUUUGCUAGUUAAAUACCCAUCUUUGAGAGGGCAUAUCUUGCUCGUUUGAAUUGUUUUUCAUUCGAUUCAAAUUGGAGAAUGAUCCUUGAAAUGUCUAGUUUCCAGAAUGUCUUUUGGAGCCUCAUUUGGAGAUCCGAGGCAGAUUUGGUGUCUGUUGCAAAACAACCUCUUAAGAGCUCAAGUUGUUGAAUUAUUUUCUAUGUAUCAAAGUUUAUUUUAAAGGAUGUUUCAUGAAAGAUUUAGUAUAUGUGCGUAACAAGUUUGGGACUAUUUAUUUUAAAUGAGGUCCGUUCUUUAUUUAAAUUAUGAUGGACUUUUAAUGAAUAUUUUUGGGAUUAAACUCUUAUUUCUUGAUUUAUAUAAAUUAUUUUUUUAAGGACUUAUAAAUAUGAAUUUCGUAGGCCUACUGACCUACUGUGAUCGACGGUUUGUCGAUGUCUAAUAGCUUUGAAAAUUUUAUAGCAAGUCCCGACAUGAGUCUUGAGUACCCUGGUAAAAUUUCAAGCCAUUCCAACUUCGUUUGAUACUUCUUUAAAAUGCAAAACCUAAACUGCACAUUACUACCGAGAAUUUCAGAGAACAGAUGAAAGAGUCAUUUAUUUCAGUAGCUUCCUGUGUGAUCUAGCUUUCCAAAUUUUUAUGGUAUUCACCUUAUUGUGUUAGCUAGAUAUCCACCAAAGUUGAGCCCAGUUUGACAACGUUUACUAUUUUUAAAAAAUCCAAGUUUUCGAUUGUUCAAAACUGCCGAACAUGGUAGAUCGUGGUAAAAACGUCAUAUCUCUCAAACCACUUGGAGUUUUCGACUCUACUUUUUUUUAUAUGAAACUAGAUUCGAAGAUCUUUCUUUCAGUAUGAGUCUCGAGUCCAGGAGAUGUCGGAGUCAGAACAGAUUAAAUUUUGAAGUUGAGUCAGUGUAAAAACAGAGCAUGUUUUAAUGAUGUUUUUGGACUUCGGACUUUAAAGCGAACUAUUAUCAUUUAUUUCUUUAAAGCCACUGGUUUAUUUAAUUAAUUGGCUACUCUCUUUUGAGCCUAUUAAUUAUUUGAGGUUACGCUAGUAAUGAUGUAACGAAUUAUGGAUGCUAGAACCCUAAAACACUAAAAGAUACCCUAGGCACGUAGAAUUAGACUUUGUCUUAUGACAAUUACUUCACGAACUUAUCGACUCUUCAUCAAUGAAGGUCCGGGCGACAGAAAGUGAAGCCGAAGAAGAAACGACUCCACGCUAGCUUUAAGAACAAUUGAGGUUGAGUUGUGAUGGGCGAUGAAGUGUUGCUGAGUGGAGUUUUUGUUGAACUUAAAGUAGGCUCAGAAAGGAUACAUGUCUUCAUACAUGUAUCUCAGUUAUGCUUUCCGCUGUAAACACUGAUUUUUUUAGUUACACCUUCCGUUGCAAACUCUGAUAAUGUUUUAGCCAAGCCCCUAACGAUGCCUUUUUCCUUUU